CGCAUAUUGCGCCCUUUGGUAUUCCGAAGGGCAUGCCUGUUCGAGCGUCAUUAUCACCCUUCAAGCCUAGGCUUGGUGUUGGACUACGUGGCAGAGACCUGCACGCGGGCCCCAAUGAGAGUGACACCGUCCCCGAGGGACCCGGUACGAGGAGCUUCUAAUCAAGCAUGUACGCGGGAGGACUCGGUGGGCGGUAGUUGCUUUGUUUGGCAUUGUUGCAUAUAUAUUUAUACCAGUGUUGACCUCGGAUCAGGUAGGGAUACCCGCUGAACUUAA
rnacentral:misc_RNA from 1 species